AUUAUCUGCAAAUUUGAAAAGCCUCAGUUAAAGCUUUCCUCUCCCUUCUCUGAGUAUUUCUUAACGCCAAAUACAUCAUGUCAGAAAUCUGCAUUUUGAUUCACUUCAUGGUUGCUUGAAUGCCCUCUACUCAAUAAGGAGAACCUCACUGCCUCCCCAAAGAAGUCACGCACAUUAGGUAUAACAAAUUGCCUUCUUAAAGUAAUUGUUUCUUCAUUUACCGUAAUACAAGUCAGGCACUCCACUCAGACUAAAUACUUCAUUUUUAGACAACAAAUUGAGGUUAUUCCCAUCUUGCGUGCCAAAAACCUACAUUUCAGAGCUUAAGCAGUGCACUGCACCUCUUUCAGGCUGAGGUAAGUUGCAUAGCUUACACAAAAUACACAGCUAGUGUAAACCAAGUGGACACACAGAAGCAUGGAUGAUCAAACCUAGCAGGAGUUUCAAAAGGUAUCUCACUAAAUUACCUACAAAUAUCAGUGAAAAUAUUUGUGGUAAUUAAAAUACUGUGAUGUGACAGCAUUUUAAAAACAUUUACAAAUGAUUGCGCUUAUCUUUGUCUCUUGCAUGUUUUCUGUGAAUUUAUCAGGUGAGUGAAUGAGAUAUAAGCUUACCCUGAGCUGAAAGGAAAGAAAACAGAAGCAUGUAGACUACCUGGAACACAAUGGGACAGCUUGUUUCACAGGUUCUCCUCAUCUUUUCUGCAGGGUGUCCGUGCUCCCAUGGAACUGAGGCUGCAAGCUCCAGCAAAUGCCACAUUUGCCUCAAAUCUGGGUUACUGCUCGUCUCUAAUCUGCAGCAUGGAUGGUGUCUCACCACGCUAACUUGGAAGCUUCGUGGCCUCCUAACACCUUACCAAAGGCUGAAGGAGAUGUGAUACCUCAGAACAGCUGGCUCUGCCCAAGGAUUUGGCAUCCACUGCUCCUCUUGAAGCCCAGGAGACCCGAGAGAAGUGCUGGAGGUACAACACAGCUGGAAGCUCGGCUCGCAGGCAGACACAAAAGUGGAACAGGAAAGCAGGAGAAAAGAAACGCUCCUUUGUCUCGUGGUUGAACUGGUUGCCCUUGCUGGGAUACAAGCAGUUCAUCUGGGCAGAGAAACCCACUGGCCCACUUGGCAUCCUGCGGCUCUUGGCACACGUUAAACAGGUCGGUAGGUGGUCUGGCACAGAGCUCUGGACGUGCUUUCUCACAAGGGUUCUUGCUUCGCAGGGGGAAAAACAGUUCAACGGAAAGAUCUUUUCUGCAGGGUUCAUCAAUGGCUUCAUGGCAGUCAGGGAAUGGUGUUCAGUGUGUUGCUGAACGCUAAAAAUGCUUUGAUUCUCCGAGGUGCUACAGUUCAUUUUGUUGGUACAGUCUUAUUUGGAAAUAAGGAAAUUUGUUCUGUCCCAGUGCUUUAUGCAGCAGUUUUGGUAGAGGAACUGUGGAUAUAGAGAUCGUGACAUUACUGGAUGAAAUAAUCCUGCUGGAGAUGUUAGGAAGGCUGACCAAGAGUCACUGUGCUCCUCUCUGCCUGGAUAUCUGUUUUGGCUCUGAGGACUGUGAAGCAUCUCGUUUGCUCACCCCAAAUCUUUGAAGGAGCUGAUUAUGCUGACAGUUAGUCUUACUAAUUGUUAUUAUAUCAUUGCUGCAGGAAUAGAUUAAUUCUUAUGUAAAGUAUGCCUGAUUUACACUCAGCUCUUAGAAGAACUUUUCGUUUCAAGUAGGGAUGUAGGUAGGAAAUAAGAGGAAGCCAGUAGAAAAUUCAGGAUGUGCUGGACAAAUUUGAGACGUAUUUUCUAUCAGUCUGAUGCUGUUUCUCAGCCCUUCUUUUUUGCACGGUUUGUUCUUGUAACAGCUGACCAUUACCUGAAAGGUAACAAUUUUCCUCUAUGAUCUUUCACUUAUGGGCACUGAGGGGACAUUGGGCCAUGACUGAGGCAGUGGCCAUGAUACGUUAUUGAAGCUGAUAGUUACAGCCUCAGCAGUGUCAUCAGCUGGAUCAGCAAAACUGACCCUACAAGGAAGAUGUGAAGUUUUAUGUCUUUCACUGGAGUUUAAUCUGUCAUAAUCUUACUCUUAUUUCUUCUCAGCGGUUUGAACUGCGACUUUUACUUGUAGUAAAGAUGGAUUAUCUGUG
rnacentral:lncRNA from 1 species